CGUCUUUUAUUUUGAAGUCCAAGCUCACGUCUCGUUAUGCUGUUCUCGCGUGAGUUAGAGAGCGAGAACAUGAGAAGCACCCUCAGAGUAAGAUGCACGGAUACUUACAGCUCCGUUAGUUUUGUAUUCUUAUACAUAUAAGUUAUGAAGAGAACUGAAGAAUACUUCCCUCUGUUUACAGAGCAUGCAGCCCAACGAGUUUUCACGGUGGAUUCGGAGGAAUAAACCCGUAAUGAGAAAGCCACUUGUGUCUGCCUGUGUUUCGAGGGAAUUACAGAGUGGUUGGACCCAAAUGCAGAGCCGGUUUAGUAGACAACGAAAAAAUUAAACAAUUAAUUAUAUUUAGGAAUAGUGCUUUGUAAUAACUCUCAGUACCAGAUUAAUUACAUUAUUGACAAUCCCAGGUAACUUACAGCCUGUCCUAUUACAAUACUAAUAUUAAAAAGUCACUAAAUUGGUAUUUUGUUGGAACAUGUUUGAGGAACAUUAUUCAGUUUUUCUCUCUCAAGUUUACCUGGUGCUACAUUUUGGAUUACAAAUCCUUACAUUGCCAAGAAAUAGGAUUGGAGCGGAAUACCCUUCAUUUAUGAAUGAUUCCUGCAAUGUGUUCUGAUCUGAUCACAGGAAUGGACAAAUACCAAGGCCGCCAAAUGAAAGGCCUGAUCGAGGGUCGUCAAUUGUGAUUCUGUGACAUGAUUUGAAAACAUUUAUUUAAAUAUUACUGAAUUGUAAUUAUUGUUCAUUAUCAAGCCCUAAUUAAAAAAUCUGCAACCAACAUUCUAACCAAGUAAAGCGUAGAAACCUAAUGACGCUUUGAGUGCAUGUUGAACUUAAAAUGAAAAGCCUAUUACUUCAGUAAACCCUUCCUGAGGUUAACGUAGUGAUUUCUGCUUCUUCUACAGGUUUGCUGUAAUCACCAGCAUCCCGGAAGGUGAAACUGUUGAGUUCCAUGAUGACAACGGGAUGGACGGCCGCUAUGUUUACAUAGGUGUCCCCGGAAGAAGGGAGUACCUGACCCUCUGUGAGGUGGAGGUGUUUGGCUCUGCACUGGAUUAGCAUUCAAUGUAAUGGAUUUGUAAACAUGCUGUAAUGUGUACACAAAGCAUCCAAAAUAAAAUGUGCAUCUUAAAUAUCA